GUCAAAUUAAGUACGUAAAUAUGUAUGUCUUUAAUUGACAUUGAGAUAAUUAUGUACAUGUCAACUACAAGACAUUAACUUUUCCAUGCAGAUUGGGAUUGGACUAAUGAGAAGGAUUGAUUUAAGAGACAUCAAAAAUGUCGCACUGUCACGGGGUGCAUUUUUAGGACGAUAUUCUGGUACUGAUUUACUUAAUAGGAUAGAAUUGCCAUUAAAUGUAUUUCAUAAGUUUUCAUGAACCCUUUAUACUUAAGUACUUUUGUGUACAAAAUCAGUUUUGCAAAUUUUAAUAUAAAUGUUUUUCCGACUUGUUGUCACAUAAUAAUAACUAAAGUUUUCGUUCAUUUGGACAUACAUAUGUAUGCAAAUAUACCUCUUUUAGACAUAAAUACACAUAAAAUUUAGCUUAUUAUCACAUGACUGGCACAAUUUGUUAGAAAAUUACAAUACGGACUUGGGAGGAACUUGAACUUGAGUACAUAUUAAAAUUUUCAGUGUAAUUUGACAGGUGUUACAAAUACUUUACUUUAAAUAGACUCAAUAUGUACAAUUAUGAAAUUGAACACAUAACUUUAUUACGUAUCCAUUAUUAUGUAUUAACUUAAUUUAUGCUGUCAUUCUAAAGUCAUGGCUCGUAUUAUCUGUAUUGUUGAUUUUUUUGAUAGUAAAUGAUCUGUCACAAUAAUGUAAGUAUUUAAUUUAAGUAGUAAUAUUCUUUGAAAUUUGCGUCGAAACUUGUCAUAAUUCCGAGAAUUUAAGUAUGCAUGUGACUUACACAUACGCAUAUCCCUCUUAACAUCUCGACUAUGACUCAUAAUCGACUUUUCCUUUUUUUCAUAACUCUCUUUUUGAAACCAUCUGCUACUAAAUAUUAAUAUUUUUUAUAAUAGCCGACAUUAUAUGUCCAGGUGAAUUUUUAUCUGGUCACAUGAGUUUUUUCGGAUAUAAAAUCAGACGAAUUCUCCCCAGUUCAGUAUCAAUCAGUUCCUUUCCGCUUAAUAAACUUGUCUACAUACAAGAAAUCAUUACAAUCUUGAAGAAAUAUGAAGAACAUCAACGCUCUCGUCGUCCUGGUCGUCCUUCUCGUCGGGAUGGUUGCGGUGGAGGCAGCUCCCCAGCGGUUCGAUUGGGCGUGCACGUGGCGGUGCUCGUUGUACAAUGUGUGCAUGGCGAGGGGUGCGUCUAACGGAAAUACCAACAAUUGUGGAUCCUCGCCAGCCGGGUGCGUGUGUGAUAAGCCGUACUGGCUUUAAGCAUGAAGCCAACAAGGGAGUCUUCAGAUAAGUCUCAAAAAUUGGAAGAGUUUUAACUACAAUUCGGGAUUAAAUGACAUUUUAAAAAUCUCCUAUUCUGUAAAAAUUAAUAAUAAAAAACAUUUAGACUUGCAUGGAGGAUUUUGUUAAAGUUUUGAGACUAUUCUCACCCUAGUGAAGUAAUUUGUAAAAAUAUUGAAGAAAUUCACGCAGGUAACUUUGUAAAGCGAUAAACUUACAAAAUUUUACAAAUAUUUCCAAAGAAAAUCAACUUAUCUGUUUAAGUUUUUGUAAACUUGCACAGAUAAAGAGCGUCUUUUUAUUUGGUAAAAGUUUGUAAAAUUAUUUUAUGAAAUUUACAAAGUAACCAAUGACCUCACCAACUAAAUAAUUCACAUGUGAAGGCUAUGCAUGAAGAAUGUUAUUAGUCCAUUCCUGGAUAAGCUUAGCUCAGGCUUACAUACCUAGAUUAAGUUUAAAAUAUGAGAAAGUAUUGGGACAUUGUUGGCCAUUAUUUACUUUAUGCGGUGACAUCGUUAAUGCACUUAUGACCUUUGUAGUAAAGAUAUUUUAGACAUUUACAUGCACAGUGGCCAUACUCACAAUUACUUUUUCCUACCUUGCAAAUUGAUCAUAUCAAAAUAGCAUAAGUUUUGCAAAACCUUUUACUAGAAAACAAUGGGUCUUUUAAGGUAAAUUGACGAUUUAUUUAAGAAAUUCGUAUUUGUUAAAUAAGUUUAUAUGCGACAGAACUUAUGCAUGUAUGCAGAAAUGUAUGUAAGAAGUAUAUGCAUGUGACUAUGUACACCUAAUAAUGUAUCGUAUGUACAUAGUUUAUGACCAUUUGUUUCUUAAAAAUGUGAAGUAUCCUGUCCUGAGCUUGAUCGCCAUUGUGUCGAAAUUUGUGUACAUUUAAUUUUUGCAACCUUUCGCAAAUUUUCGGAUGUGACGAUACCAUAAAAUAACAGGAUAUUAUUGACUUCAUUCAUUCAUUCAAAUGGCAUAAUUUCGUUUCCUUAAUCACAGUAUUUAUUUAUUUAUCAUCCGGCUGUGCAUGUAAGGCCAGCUAAAAAAUACUUAAUAACCCGUCCUACAGGAUUUAUCGUCAUUUACAUUUCAAAUCUUUGCUAAUUCGCAACUUAAAGUCGUUCAGCUAAAAGUAUAAGAAAAUCGGAACCAUGAAACUCAUCAUUAUUGGACUCUGUUACAUCGCCAUAUUUUCUUGUGUAUUAAAUGACCACGUGGUCCAAGCCGUAAGUUAAUAUCACUUUUAAAGCAUAUUUAUAGAAAAUUUCCAACUAUCAGAUUUCAAUGUUUUAAUUCACAGAAUCCACUUCCGGUUCCAAAUUCAAUCGUUACUUUACACGCCGACUGCGCUGCUAAUUGGCACCAAGAUGCUAUGGGGCUGGGAAGUGACCAAACAUGCAUUACGGAUAAAGACGGGUCUGGUGAUACAGUCAAGGGCACACCCACCGAUGACUCAGACAAGAAGGGAGCACGGAAAGUUGGGCUACCAUUAUCUGUCGUUUCAUAAUUAAAAGUAUAAUAUGCAGAAUUAGUUUUUGCAGAAAAUAAUUAUGUGAAGCAAUAUCGUACAAAUAUUAUGGGUAUAAAUAUAUUCGCAAGAAAUUUGCUAAAAUAAAGAUAACGUAUGUCAGUAA